rnacentral:lncRNA from 1 species
GCUUCUGCAGUGCAUUGUUGAUGAGGAUUCGCCCGUCCUUCCAGUUGGAGAGUUCUCGGAGCCAUUUGUACAUUUCAUCACUCAGUGUAUGCGAAAACAGCCAAAAGAAAGGCCAGCACCUGAAGAAUUGAUGGGCCACCCGUUCAUCGUGCAGUUCAAUGAUGGAAAUGCCGCCGUGGUGUCCAUGUGGGUGUGCCGGGCGCUGGAGGAGAGGCGGAGCCAGCAGGGGCCCCCGUGAGGCUGCCGCAGGGCACUGAAAGCCCAGGACCAGUAACCAAGGAGAACAACCCACCCGUCGCCCUUCUCCGUAUGCUGCCUGCGCCAGAAGAGCUUUGCUGGGCCCUGGCUUCCCUGCCCUCGCCUUCACCUCUGUCAGCAGGUGGCCUUGCCUGGGGAGCCCCAUGUGUGGCCCACCCCACCAGGCCAUCCCCAUACCUUCUGGUUUGAAGGCGCUGACACUGGCAGAGAGGUAAAGGGUGGGGCAUUGAGAAUGGAGGCUCCCAGGGUCCCUGCCCACUUCUGUUUUCCUAAUGUUUUUCUCUAUAAAGGGUCAGGCCCGUCAGCAUCACUGAUGGGAAUAAAAGUAUUAAU